UCUUGAGUGGAUCCUGAGUACGACGGAGCACGUGGAAUUCCGUCGGAAUCCGGGAGGACCAUCUCCCAAGGCUAAAUACUCUCUAGUGACCGAUAGUGAACCAGUACCGUGAGGGAAAGGGGAAAAGUACCCCGGAAGGGGAGUGAAAGAGAACUUGAAACCGUGUGCUUACAAGUAGUCAGAGCCCGUUAAUGGGUGAUGGCGUGCCUUUUGUAGAAUGAACCGGCGAGUUACGAUCUGAUGCAAGGUUAAGCAGCAAAUGUGGAGCCGCAGCGAAAGCGAGUCUGAAUAGGGCGUUGAGUAUUUGGUCGUAGACCCGAAACCAGGUGAUCUACCCAUGACCAGGCUGAAGUUCAGGUAACACUGAAUGGAGGGCCGAACCGACUUACGUUGAAAAGUGAGCGGAUGAGUUGUGGGUAGCGGAGAAAUUCCAAUCGAACCUGGAGAUAGCUGGUUCUCUCCGAAAUAGCUUUAGGGCUAGCCUCAAGUGAUGAUUAUUGGAGGUA
rnacentral:rRNA from 1 species